rnacentral:rRNA from 1 species
AUGUACUCCCUACGAAAUGCUCGAAAAACGAUCGCGCUUAAAGGAUGCCCUCAGCGUCGAGGAACGUGUGCUAGGGUGUAUGUGCGACUCGUUCAGAUCAUGACUUCAAACAAAUAUAAAAAAAUUGAAGCCCCAACGGUUUGGACUUGA